GGCUGGUCCAAAGGUAGUGAGUUAUCUCACCUGAUUGUUCACAGUCAGUUAUAGAUUGAACUCCUUAUUAUAUCACUUUCCCCCCUCCUCACUACUGCACUUGACUAGUCUUAA
rnacentral:Y_RNA from 1 species